GAUGAACGCUGGCGGCGUGCCUAAUACAUGCAAGUCGAGCGAACGGACGAGAAGCUUGCUUCUCUGAUGUUAGCGGCGGACGGGUGAGUCACACGUGGAUAACCUACCUAUAAGACUGGGAUAACUUCGGGAAACCGGAGCUAACACCGGAUAAUAUUUUGAACCGCAUGGUUCAAAAGAGAAAGACGGUCUUGCUGUCACUUAUAGAUGGAGCGCCGCUGCAUUAGCUAGUUGGUAUGGUAACGGCUUACCAAGGCAACGAUGCAUAGCCGACCUGAGAGGGUGAUGGGCCACACUGGACCUGAGCCACGGUCCAGACUCCUCCGGGAGGCAGCAGUAGGGAAUCUUCCGAAAUGGGCGAAAGCCUGACGGAGCAACGCCGCGUGAGUGAUGAAGGUCUUCGGAUCGUAAAACUCUGUUAUUGGGGAAGAACAGAUGUGUAAUUAACUGUGCACAUCUUGACGGUACCUAAUCAGAAAGCCACGGCUAACUACGUG
rnacentral:rRNA from 1 species